UGCUGCUAUCUGCCAACAAUUUCAAAACUCCACCCGCGAACUCAACAACAAAAGGCAAACAGAGACACAGAGAAAUUCAGAUCAGAGUAGAUCCCAUCUCAUGUGCCAAUGUCUUAGAAAUAGAAAGAGAGAGAGAGCAUUCACAUUUAUUGGUGUUUCAGUCACUCUUUGCUGUUUUGUGUUUCAUGUCCCUCGCCAUUUUUAAUUCACAUCCCAAUCAAACAAAAAUCACACACACACAAAACCAAGUAUCUCUCUCGAUCACUCUCUUCCUCUCCCAUUUGGCAAUGUCAACACCCAAUGUCAUCAACUAAUAAAGGACAAUAGACAUUGAGGCGGAGAGACAAUUAAACCAACAAUUAUCCGUGCAACAGCUGUUACUACUGCCAUCACAACUACUGGUAGUGAUAAUACUACUAUAACCAAAGCUCACCAUAAAGUCCAAAUUCAGCCCACCAGGCCCAAACGCUGGAAGUGCCGUGAAACCACCUUUUCAUCAUCCGUUACAGCCUCCACCACCGCUAAUUGUAAUGCUAAUACUAAUAAUUCUGACUAUGCUUCUGGGUAUUGUUCCCAUAGCCAAAAGCCGGAAACUUGACCCACCCAUCAUUGUCUCACUUGAUAACUCCUGGUGAUGUCUUGCUUCCAAACCCAUCUCUGCCCCACCUCCGCAACCCGCAAUUUGAUCCUAAAGGAGUCUAACCCCGCUCUUGAUUUGCCAUCAAGCUUCAAGAUCUAUCACCAAUCAUGGACUUCACGCCCACCUCAGCUUCCACUAUUAUCGCCAUAACAACUCUGGCCAAUGGCCACCACUCUCCUCAUGAGCCUUCUUCUUUCCCUUCCAAUCUCACCAGAUUUAACUCUGCACUCGCCGCCGGUCUUUUAAACUCGAUGUCUCCCCCACCGGACAAUCGAUCCAUUCCCACGGUUUUCGAGAUGAUGGCAAGCGAUCCCGAAAUGCAACCCAGAUCCCAAUUAACAAUGCCAACAUUAUUGUUCGAAGCUCGCAGAACUCCCAAAUGUCUGUUCAAGAUCAACAGACUCUAAUAAUGCAGCGAAUAGCUGACAUUUUGGGAAACAGGAGCCUUGAAAACCAGUUCAAUGAUGCGUUGACGAGUGAUGUUAAGCUAACAUUAGUUCCAAAGAUGGAAUUAGUGUAUCAAUAAGUGUCCACCGGCAUAUCCUGGUGGUCCAUAGCAGGUUUUUUGCUGUGAAAUUGUCGGAUCGGUAGGCCAAGCAACAGCUUUUGUCGGUGUCGUACGUGUGGAGAUUGCCGAUUGCGAUGAUUUUGAGGUUUAUAUUGAGAUUUUAAGUUUAAUGUAUUGCAAGAUCUGAGGAGAAAGCCUAUGAAAGAGGACGUGAGUAAAGUUUUUUUAUUGGGUUUAAGUACCCUAGGUUACCAAUGAUUUGAUGAGACAGGCUGGGGAAAGAUUUUAGGAUCGAGGUUUGAGUUUCUGGGCUGUAAGCAUACCACUGGGAUAUUACAGCUCGUUAUUCAACUCCCAUGAUUUUUAGGCUAUUGUGGACCUAUGUUUGAUUUGUUGGUUGGGAACAAUAGAAGUAGAUAGGGAACUUGUAAAUU
rnacentral:misc_RNA from 1 species